GACGUAGGUGGCGAACGUUAUCCGGAAUUAUUGGGCCUAAAGCAUCCGUAGCCGGUCAUGCAAGUCCUCCGUUAAAUCCAGCCGCUCAACGGUUGGGCUGCGGAGGAUACUACGUGGCUAGGAGGCGGGAGAGGCAAGCGGUACUCAGUGGGUAGGGGUAAAAUCCUUUGAUCCAUUGAAGACCACCAGUGGCGAAGGCGGCUUGCCAGAACGCGCUCGACGGUGAGGGAUGAAAGCUGGGGGAGCAAACCGG
rnacentral:rRNA from 1 species